rnacentral:rRNA from 1 species
GAUGAACGCUGGCGGCGUGCUUAACACAUGCAAGUCGAGCGAGAAGUUUUGAAAAGAUUCUUCGGAUGAAAUUUAAAAUGGAAAGCGGCGGACGGGUGAGUAACGCGUAGGCAACCUGCCCCAUACAAAGGGAUAGCAUUUGGAAACGAAUAUUAAUACCUUAUGAAACUUAACUAGUGCAUGCUAGGUAGGUCAAAGAUUUAUCGGUAUGGGAUGGGCCUGCGUCUGAUUAGCUAGUUGGUGAGGUAACGGCUCACCAAGGCGACGAUCAGUAGCCGACCUAGGAGGGUGAACGGCCAAAUUGGAACUGAGACACGGUCCAAGCUCCUACGGGAGGCAGCAGUGGGGAAUAUUGCACAAUGGGGGAAACCCUGAUGCAGCAACGCCGCGUGAACGAUGAAGGCCUUUGGGUCGUAAAGUUCUGUUCUAGGUGAUGAAAACUGACAGUAACCUAGGAGAAAGCCCCGGCUAACUCCGUG